CCAGCAGGGGUCCGACACGUGGCCGGAGGAGGGCAGGGCCAGAGUGCGGCAAAGGUAGUGACUGCCGCGGAAGGGAGGUUUGUUGGGAUCUGGAGUCCCGAGGGGAGAGGGAGGAAGAUUGCGACUUUGAAAGAACCUAGAAGAGGAUGGAAUUGUUAAAACAAAUGGAAUAUUUGCUCAUUUAACAAGCCUUUGUUGAAUAUUUUCUCCGUGGAAGGCAUUGUGAUUCUUUUCUUGAUUCAAUGGAUAUUUCUGAGCCCCUAGUUUGUACCAGACACUGUACUUACGCUUUUUGAGAUAUCCAAAAAUGUUCGUCCUCUCAGAGGUUAUACUCUAGUUGGGGAACUUACAUAGCUAAGGCAGGGAGUGUUUGCGCCGCCAGCCAUCCGCAGCUGGGACUUGAUGUUGCUGGAAUGUAACUGUUACAGAGGUGCUAACAGUGAAAAAGAGAGAAAAACAAAGAAAAUCUAUGGAAGUUUAGUAUGACACAACAGAGGCUACGUUCACAGCACGCUACCUGUUUGGUAUCCUGGUUCACUAGCAUCAGUGCGCGUGUUCAUGCCGACACUUGGAUGGCUUUAUGUCACUUAGUGCACGCAUUUUUUAAAUUCUCCUUCAUCAAUGGCUAAGCCAUUGAUAUUUUUCCAUCCCCCGUUUUGUUCCCAAGUUCGCGUCUGCAAUUGUUUGAAAAUUACAUAAAACCCUAGUAUUUUUAAUUCUCUCCAGGGAAUGACUGGAGAGGGAUACUUCUGUCCAUGCCUCUAUCUUUCUCUCCCAAUAUCUUUUUGGCUUUCUUUUUUCUUGUCCCCACCACUUUACCAGUUAAAAAAUUUCUGGGAAAAAGUGAACAGGAGUCACCGGAUAUUGGCUUAAGAAGAACCUUAGCACGCAACCGUAUUUCAGGACCACGGACAGUGACACCGCGUGCUCUUACCACCAAGCGUUUUUCUUAGACUGCCUAUGGAAACAGGAGAAACACGCUAAAGAAAGCACACGUUGUGCUUCAUGAAAUCGCUGUGACUGCUAUAUGGAGAAGUGACGUAGGGG